UACAGAGGUCUCAAGCGUUGUUCGGAUUCAUUGGGCGUAAAGGGUGCGUAGGUGGCGCUGUAAGUCGGGUGUGAAAUUUCGGAGCUUAACUCCGAAACUGCAUUCGAUACUGCGGUGCUUGAGGACUGGAGAGGAGACUGGAAUUCAUGGUGUAGCAGUGAAAUGCGUAGAGAUCAUGAGGAAGACCAGUGGCGAAGGCGGUUCUCUGGGCAUGUCCUGACGCUGAGGAGCGAAAGUGUGGGGAGCGAACAGG
rnacentral:rRNA from 1 species